rnacentral:misc_RNA from 1 species
AAGUCGUAACAAGGUUUCCGUAGGUGAACCUGCGGAAGGAUCAUUACAAAUUUCGACCCCUCAAUUGGAGAUAGUUGUGCGUGAGCGCAACUAUCUCCAAUUGACGGGGGGAGCAUCAGUUUGAAUUGUAGUGUGAAAGCAUCACAAGACACUCUGGUACAAUCGUGCGUUUUUGGUGUCGUGUGUUGUAUGGUUGCAAGAUCAGACAAUACAUUAACCAAACACAAACAAUCACGCUUAUUUUGUUUGACUGUAAUAUAUAACCAAAAGAUACAA